rnacentral:rRNA from 1 species
UAAUACGGAGGGUGCAAGCGUUAAUCGGAAUUACUGGGCGUAAAGCGCACGCAGGCGGUUUGUUAAGUCAGAUGUGAAAUCCCCGGGCUCAACCUGGGAACUGCAUUUGAAACUGGCAAGCUAGAGUCUCGUAGAGGGGGGUAGAAUUCCAGGUGUAGCGGUGAAAUGCGUAGAGAUCUGGAGGAAUACCGGUGGCGAAGGCGGCCCCCUGGGCGAAGACUGACGCUCAGGUGCGAAAGCGUGGGGAGCAAACAGGAUUAGAUACCCUGGUAGUCCACGCUGUAAACGAUGUCGAUUUGGAGGUUGUGCCCUUGAGGCGUGGCUUCCGGAGCUAACGCGUUAAAUCGACCGCCUGGGGAGUACGGCCGCAAGGUUA